rnacentral:rRNA from 1 species
UUACCAGGCCUUGACAUACUCGGCAAAGACUCUAGAGAUAGAGUGGAGGUUAUCCGGGAUACAGGUGGUGCAUGGUUGUCGUCAGCUCGUGUCGUGAGAUGUUGGUUAAGUCCGCAACGAGCGCAACCCUUGUCUUUAGUUACCAUCAUUCAGUUGGGGACUCUAGAGAGACUGCCGGUGAUAAACCGGAGAAGUGGGGAUGACGUCAAAUCAUCAUGCCCCUUAUGGCCUGGGCUACAAACGUAAUACAAUGGCGUAUACAAAGGGAUGCGAAAGGGCGACCUGGAGCAAAACUCACAAAGUACGUCUCAGUUCAGAUUGGAGUCUGCAACUCGACUCCAUGAAGGCGGAAUCGCUAGUAAUCGCGGAUCAGCAUGCCGCGGUGAAUACGUUCUCGGGGUUU